GAUGAACGCUAGCUACAGGCUUAACACAUGCAAGUCGAGGGGAAACGACAUCGAAAGCUUGCUUUUGAUGGGCGUCGACCGGCGCACGGGUGAGUAACGCGUAUCCAACCUGCCCACCACUUCGGGAUAACCUUGCGAAAGUAAGACUAAUACCCAAUGACGUCUCUAGAAGACAUCUGAAAGAGAUUAAAGAUUUAUCGGUGAUGGAUGGGGAUGCGUCUGAUUAGCUUGUUGGCGGGGUAACGGCCCACCAAGGCGACGAUCAGUAGGGGUUCUGAGAGGAAGGUCCCCCACAUUGGAACUGAGACACGGUCCAAACUCGUACGGGAGGCAGCAGUGAGGAAUAUUGGUCAAUGGACGAGAGUCUGAACCAGCCAAGUAGCGUGCAGGAUGACGGCCCUAGGGGUUGUAAACUGCUUUUAUAAGGGAAUAAAGUGAGUCUCGUGAGACUUUUUGCAGGUACCUUAUGAAUAAGGACCGGCUAAUUCCGUG
rnacentral:rRNA from 1 species